rnacentral:rRNA from 1 species
GAUGAACGCUAGCGGCAGGCCUAAUACAUGCAAGUCGAACGGCCCCGACACUUCGGUGUCGGGGUAGUGGCGCACGGGUGCGUAACGCGUACACAACAUACCCUUUACAGGGGGAUAGCGGCGGGAAACUGCCAGUAAUACCCCAUGUCCUUGCGAGGUGGCAUCAUUUUGCAAAGAAAGUUCAAGCGGUAAAGGAUUGGUGUGCGUCCGAUUAGCUAGUUGGCGGGGUAACGGCCCACCAAGGCGACGAUCGGUAGGGGGUGUGAGAGCAUGGCCCCCCACCACGGUACGUNAGACACGACCGGACCUCUACGGAGGGCAGCGAGUAAGGAAGUAAUUGGUACG